rnacentral:pre_miRNA from 7 species
CACAGCUUUCUUUUAAUGUUGUGGCUGUUUGGGUUCCUGGCAUGAUGAUUUGUGAGUUAAGAUUAAAAUCACAUUGCCAGGGAUUACCACAUAGCCAUGACCGCAGCUGCUACUCUGAAA